rnacentral:rRNA from 1 species
UACGUAGGGUCCGAGCGUUGUCCGGAAUUCUUGGGCGUAAAGAGCUCGUAGGCGGUUUGUCGCGUCUGCUGUGAAAUCCCGAGGCUCAACCUCGGGUCUGCAGUGGGUACGGGCAGACUGGAGUGCGGUAGGGGAGAAUGGAAUUCCUGGUGUAGCGGUGGAAUGCGCAGAUAUCAGGAGGAACACCGAUGGCGAGGGCAGUUCUCUGGGCCGUAACUGACGCUGAGGAGCGAAAGCGUGGGGAGCGAACAGG